rnacentral:tRNA from 1 species
GCCCGAAUGAUGAAAUUGGUAAACAUACUGGAUUUAGGUUCCAGCGCUUCACGGCUUGAGGGUUCAAGUCCCUCUUCGGGC